CUAUAAUUCUGAUAAGAAAGUAGGUUAGGAAAUUUGAACAACUCCAAUUAAGAAAGGAGAAUUACAGAGUCAGCUUAAAGAAACAUUAAACAAGAAUGGUUUCAUAAAAAUGUUUAUUUUCCCUAGGAAAGUACAUUUCAUUUUCAUUUUUUACAUUUCCCCAGACCUCAGUGUAUAUAUGUAGAUACAACUAUCAAAUUCUUCAUGUGUACCAAAUGAAAAUCCUUACACUAAAAAUUAUACUAAAAUGGUUCAGUUUGCACAUUUGAAAGCAUAACCAACAAUGGUCAAAACUGACGUGUCCUUACAAACAACAGAAACUUUCCUAACAAUUUACAUUCUCGGGUUUAUGAAUGUCAAAUGACUUCAAUCAGCAAUGGACAAUUGGUUGUAAUUCAACUGAAAUAAAAGCAGAACACAUGGCUAUCGCUUGACUGGGGAAUAUUGGAUAUCUCCAGAAGACAGAAAGUGGAAUUAGACACAAAUAGAUUUCACUAUCUCUUUCAAGAUCCAUCGUGAGGUAAUGUACGUAAGGGCUGUAAUUGGUUUCUUAAGGUAAUGGCAAAUUAAUGGUUACAUUAGAAUAAAAGAAGAAUGUUCUUUAGAAUGAAAGAAUAAUUUGGUUCUCUGAAUCAGUUAUUUAUUGAUAGUGUAUCCCGAACACUCUUUAGGCUAAAGAAAUUAAAUAAUCAUAGAAGCUAUCAUUUAUUUAUUUAUUUAUAGCAGACAUUUUAUUUGUUGUAAAAAAAUUCAAAAUCCCACAUGAAAACAAUCAUGCAUUGAAUUGGCAACGUCACCAUCCUAUUCCUCACAAUGGAUUCGUAUAUACGAUAACUGUAUUGUUAUGUGUACUUGAAAAAUCCAAGGGUUCAAGGUUUUGGGAUACAGCGCUUACUCAGGUUUGGUUUUCUUUUGAAGGAGGUCACUGGAGUCUUACGGGGAUUUUAUACCUUAUAGGUGAAGGUACAGGAAUAAACCAUUCCAGCACUUAGUCCAUGAUCCAGUAUUCUCCCAUAAGAUAGUCUAGGGCAAGAGCAAAAACACUGAGAUUAAGGCAGAGCUCAACUGAGUGCUUCUUCAUCUGCCCCUGCUACACCAGCUGUUUCUUCACCAACAGUUUGAUGACAUCAUCUUUUCAGCAAUGAGGGGAAAGGAAGAUGUUCCCUUCCAGAAGUCUCUUGACAUUUUCUCCUCAUUUAAAGGAAAAUAGUCUUAACAAUGACAGUCUGUGGGAGAAGCUCUAGUCUAUUUAACAAUAGAAUGCAUCUGGAUGAAACCUGCCUUGUGGGUUUCAGGUCCAUCAAUUCUUUCUCCCCCAGAAUGAAUAAUUUUAGAGUUGAAAGGGACAAACCUCAGUCCCAUAAGCACUAGAUUAUGAGGAGCAUAACUUUAUAACAUUGAGUCUAGGUAUAAUAAAAGCCAAACAGAAAGGCUGUGAGAAAGGCUGUCAGAGAACAAAGAUGCAGUUGCUCACAAUCUGUGGAGUCCGUUGUCAAAGGAUGAUGGGACAGGCUUGUAUCCAAAGUAGCACUGAGUCUCUUGUUCCCUUAGCACAAAUAUUUACUCUUGUGCAACCAAAUUCCCCCUCCUGCCCCCAUGUGCCACAUAAAUAUGUGUUGGGUUCCCCAAACCCCCCAAACAGAUUUGGGGAGGGCAGGGAAAGGAGAGUGGGAAAGGUUCCAUUGCACGAGCGUAAAUCUCUGUACUAAGGGGAACAAGUUCCUUGGAUCCCUCCCAUAGUCUGAAACUAAUAAGGGGCCUUGUAUGGCCCUAUUCAGGACACGGGUGGCGCUGUGGAUUAAACCACAGGGUCUAGGACUUGCCAAUCAGAAGGUUGGCAGUUCGAAUCCCUGCGACGGGGUGAGCUCCCGUUGCUUGGUCCCUGCUCCUGCCAACCUAGCAGUUCAAAAGCACGUCAAAGUGCAAGUAGAUAAAUAGGUACUGCUCCGGCGGGAAGGUAAAUGGCGCUUCCGUGUGCUGCUCUGGUUGGCCAGAAGUGGCUUAGUCAUGCUGGCCAUAUGACCCGGAAGCUGCAUGCCGGCUCCCUCGGCCAAUAAAGCGAGAUGAGCGCCGCAACCCCAGAGUCGGCCACAACUGGACCUAAUGGUCAGGGGUCCAUUUACCUUUACCUAUGGCCCUAUUCAGGCAUUCUUCCCCCUCUCCCCAUGCAAUUCCUCAUUGUCCCUUCUCCUUCUAUCAUAUCACCCACUUUAUCCCACAGCUCUUCCCCUGUUGAGGUCUGGACUUCUGCAGAUGAGAUUGGGUAGGUUCCCCCCCCCUCCCGGUAUAGAACUCUGGAAAAUCAGGAUUGCAAAUUUCCAAGGCACUGUUUAAAAAUCUCACAUGGAAUGUCAUAUAGAAUUAUAGAAGAGUUGGAAGACACAACGAGGGUCAGUGUUUCCCAGCCUUGGGUCUCCAGCUGUUUUUGGACUGCAACUCCCAUCAUCCCUAGCUAACAAGACCAGUGGUCAGGGAUGAUGGGAACUGUAGUCGGAAAACAGUCCAACCACCUGCAAUGCAGGAAUCUUUUGUCCAAUGUGGGGCUCUUAUCCAUCACCCUGGAAUAAAACAUCUCAUGCUCUACCGACUGAGCUAUUUGAGGUAGCCAUGCAUCGUUGCGCUUACUGAUGUCAUAUGGUUGGUUCUGCUUGUGUUUCAAAAGGCUAUUUUGUCCUUUUAAGGACUCCCUCUCCCUUUCCUCUUUGUGCUCUUUUGACUGAACGUUUUAAAUAAUUAGAUUCAUCAGUGUUGGAAAUCUAUUUCUAAAUAACCAUUGAAGAUAAUAUUCAUGAUUUUACAUUUCUAGAAUGUCUGUAUUUCCUAUGAUUCCCCCAUAUGUGAAUAUAUUUCAGCUUCAAGUGUAUUUCUCUAGGCUGCUUAAGAUGUUACAGAAUGGUAUUGUAUUUCUUGUUUUUGACAAGAAGCUAUUGUUUCAAAUUAUAUUCAUAGCCUCAAGUUGUUUUUUUUUUAAAAAAACAAACCUGUCAGCUGAGAUGUUUUUUUUACUUCACAGAGGAUGAAGGCAUAUCAGACCUGCAGAAUUGCCUUCAGAAAUGAGGUUGCUGUUCUAAACACACUUACUAGGGAGUAAGUCCCACUGAACUUGGCAGGAUUUAUUUUGGAGUUAACAUGUAUAAAAUUCAGAAGUCGGCCACUCACCCAGGCAUUGGAUGCAUUUUCAAAUGCAUCCAGUGAGUGGGGGGAAAUCUAGUUUUUGAAAAUAAGUGUGUAAGCCUUGAAGCGAUUUAGGAGCCUUGAACAAAAUAUACCCUCAGCAGCAACAGCAGGAACCGUGGCAGAGCCAUGGAGUCACCCUCCUAUCAUCAGCAUUGAUACAACUUACCUGGAUGAGCUGAGGCAGAGUGGCAGGAAACCAGGGCUGCACAGAUGCUCCAAUGGAGCCAAUUUGCCACACCGCAUCAACCACCACUGACAUUUAGCACACAUUAAAUGAGUCCAGAGUUAGGCAUCCAUGGUGGUUCGAACGUGCUGAGUGGGAUUUUGUUUUUCUUUAAAAACAGAACAAAAAAAACCCCUUGGUCUAUUAUCACAUGGUUUUGAAAGUUCCCCUUACAUGACAAUUGCCCCCCUCCCAAAAAAAUGGGUUGUGUUUGUUGAUAUUCCUUUCAGGAGAUAAAAAAUCCUCACACACAACUAAAACACCUCAUAUUUUGAAGAUGCCUAACAUGAAAGUCCCUACACCAAUUUGUCUGAAAUUUCACAGGUUUCAUUGCCAAAGAAGGGGUUAAUGUGUCGGCAAAUUUCAUUCAAUUCUUACAAAAAGAACCCCAACAAUAUUACAAGUUUUUUGUUGAUUUCCACACUAAAAUCAAUGCGAAAGACACAAGUUACUGCCAUAGAUAGCCAUUUGCUACCUUAAAUACUUUAGGUAGUGUGCUAGUUCCAUCAACUUUAAAAACUGUUUAUUACUUUUUAUCAUUUUUAAUACUGGAAUUGGGGAAAUAAACCAUCUAAGAGCAAGCACAGAACUAAAACUUAGAUGGAAGAGAAUCUCAUCCUACCUAAUUCACACUUCCUGAAACAAUACAUAAACCGAAACACAGUGUUCCUUUGAAAAUCAUACUUCUUCAAAGUUUCUGAUGCUGUUUUCCAAGCUAAAAAUGUGUACAAAAUAUGUCCACGAGGGGGAAAGAGUUUGUGUUUAAAUGUAUGUAUUAAUAAAAAUAACAUGGCAAAAUGCAUUCUAUCAGAGAAAAAUCAUACACGAAACUGUGUAUGUCAGGAGAAAUGCAAACUAAGAUGCUGGUGAAUUUUCAUGAGGGCUGUUAAAAAUAAUUUGCAAACUGAUGAGAGAAAUGUGGCCAACUGAAUUUAAGAUUGGACAUAUGAGAAACUGAGAGAAGCAAAAAUUGACAGGGUCAUCCAUCCCUAACAAAAACAUAUCCAUUCAGCUGAAAAUCAAUGAUUGCUAGAUAUCUAAGUGCCAUUUUUGCCUUUAAUGUCAAACUCUGGGCACCCAAGCUGUGAAAAUCCCAGCUGACAUUUUCAUUCCUUCUUUUGGGAUUAGGUACUUUAAAGUGUUUCAAAUGGUUCGUUGUUUCAAGGUUCUCUCAUAACUGGUCAGUGACUGAAUUACUGUCAUGUUGAAAUAAUGAAUAAAUUAUUUUCUUCUCA
rnacentral:lncRNA from 1 species